rnacentral:rRNA from 1 species
UACGUAGGGGGCAAGCGUUGUCCGGAUUUAUUGGGCGUAAAGAGCGUGUAGGCGGCCAGGUAGGUCAGCUGUGAAAACUCGAGGCUCAACCUCGAGACGUCGGUUGAAACCACCUGGCUAGAGUCCGGAAGAGGAGAGUGGAAUUCCUGGUGUAGCGGUGGAAUGCGCAGAUAUCAGGAGGAACAUCCGUGGCGAAGGCGGCUCUCUGGGACGGUACUGACGCUGAGACGCGAAAGCGUGGGGAGCGAACAGG